rnacentral:rRNA from 1 species
UUGCUCUUCAACGAGGAAUACCUAGUAAGCGUGAGUCAUCAGCUCGCGUUGAUUACGUCCCUGCCCUUUGUACACACCGCCCGUCGCUACUACCGAUUGAAUGGCUUAGUGAGGUCUUGGGAUUGGCUUCGGGGAGCCGGCAACGGCACCUUGUUGCUGAGAACUUGAUCAAACUUGGUCAUUUAGAGGAAGUAAAAGUCGUAACAAGGUUUCCGUAGGUGAACCUGCGGAAGGAUCAUUAACGAGUUCUUGAACGGGUUGUAGCUGGCUCUUUUUUAGGAGCAUGUGCACGCCUGGCUCAAUUCCACUCCUUAACCUCUGUGCACUUAUUGUAGGUCGGUGGAGGCUGGCGCAAGUCAGUUUGAAGCCUUCCUAUGUUUUAUUACAAACGUAUCAGUUAUAGAAUGUCUUACUUUGCUAUAAUGCAAUUAUAUACAACUUUCAGCAACGGAUCUCUUGGCUCUCGCAUCGAUGAAGAACGCAGCGAAAUGCGAUAAGUAAUGUGAAUUGCAGAAUUCAGUGAAUCAUCGAAUCUUUGAACGCACCUUGCACCCCUUGGUAUUCCGAGGGGUAUGCCUGUUUGAGUGUCAUGGUAUUCUCAACCCCCAAAUUCUUUAUUGAGUCUUGGUGGGCUUGGACUUGGGGGUUGUGCUGGAUUUUUAUUAAUUCAGCUCCUCUGAAAUAUAUUAGUGUGAAUCUUACGGAUCGCCUUCAGUGUGAUAAUUGUCUACGCUGUGGUUGUGAAGUAUAUUUGUAUUCAUGCUUCUAAUCGUCUCUUACUUGAGACAAUUACAUCUUUGACAUCUGACCUCAAAUCAGGUAGGACUAUCCGCUGAACUUAAGCAUAUCAAUAAGCGGAGGA